CGUCUGCUACAAACCGGACAUAUCUACAUCACAACCAAAGCUGAAUUUGUGAGAAGUUAUUACAUUCAUCAUCACCAAAAGACUGUUUUCAUUUCUCACACCAAACACUUCACAACUACAAAAUGGUUCCUCAUAGCAUCAAGCAAAUAAUCCAAGUGAACUAAAAUCCAAGAAGUCCCUACCAACUCUCCUUACAGAAUCACAAUCCUGCCUACUAAAGUAACCAUUAGAGUACAACAAUGAACAUCACACGAUAAAUAGUCUAAAUUUACAACUAACUGCUUCAUGUAAAAACUCAAAUGUAUAGUUUAAAGAACAGUAACUGAUUUGGGAGAUGGAUACGAGUUGCAAUUACCCCAUUGUUGGCGUCUAGUUGAUG